rnacentral:ncRNA from 2 species
AGAGUUAAAAGUACGUGAAAUUGCUAAAAGGGAAACAUUUGACACCAGUAUUUGGGAGUCGGAAAUCAGCCUCGGUAUACUGGGGUGCACUUUCCGGCUACCAGGUCAACAUCAGUUUCGUCUGCCGUAAAAAAGCCAAGAGAAGGUAGGUGUUAAUUCACUGUUAUAGCUCUGGCCGAUGCGGUGGAUGGGACUGAGGACUGCGGUGCAUGCCUUUGGCUGGGUUCGCGGCAGCUGUGUGGGACGGGGCUAUGGACAGCUUGCUGACUAUGGCUCUACUCUUAUGCAAUCUGUCGUACAACCACAAAUGCACCUAGGAUGUUGACGAAAUGGUUUUAAACGACC